GAUGAACGCUGGCGGCGUGCUUAACACAUGCAAGUCGAACGAUGAACCAGGUGCUUGCACUUGGGGAUUAGUGGCGAACGGGUGAGUAACACGUGAGUAACCUGCCCCUGACUUCAGGAUAAGCCCGGGAAACUGGGUCUAAUACUGGAUAUGACUAUUGACCGCAUGGUUGGUGGUGGAAAGAUUUAUUGGUUGGGGAUGGACUCGCGGCCUAUCAGCUUGUUGGUGAGGUAAUGGCUCACCAAGGCGACGACGGGUAGCCGGCCUGAGAGGGUGACCGGCCACACUGGGACUGAGACACGGCCCAGACUCCUACGGGAGGCAGCAGUGGGGAAUAUUGCACAAUGGGCGAAAGCCUGAUGCAGCGACGCCGCGUGAGGGAUGACGGCCUUCGGGUUGUAAACCUCUUUCAGUAGGGAAGAAGCCCGUAAGGGUGACGGUACUUGCAGAAGAAGCGCCGGCUAACUACGUGCCAGCAGCCGCGGUAAUACGUAGGGCGCGAGCGUUAUCCGGAUUUAUUGGGCGUAAAGAGCUCGUAGGCGGUUUGUCGCGUCUGCCGUGAAAGACCAGGGCUCAACCCUGGUUCUGCGGUGGGUACGGGCAGACUAGAGUGAUGUAGGGGAGACUGGAAUUCCUGGUGUAGCGGUGAAAUGCGCAGAUAUCAGGAGGAACACCGAUGGCGAAGGCAGGUCUCUGGGGCAUUUACUGACGCUGAGGAGCGAAAGCAUGGGGAGCGAACAGGAUUAGAUACCCUGGUAGUCCAUGCCGUAAACGUUGGGCACUAGGUGUGGGGGACAUUCCACGUUUUCCGCGCCGUAGCUAACGCAUUAAGUGCCCCGCCUGGGGAGUACGGCCGCAAGGCUAAAACUCAAAGGAAUUGACGGGGGCCCGCACAAGCGGCGGAGCAUGCGGAUUAAUUCGAUGCAACGCGAAGAACCUUACCAAGGCUUGACAUGUGCCAGACCGCCUCAGAGAUGGGGUUUCCCUUCGGGGCUGGUUCACAGGUGGUGCAUGGUUGUCGUCAGCUCGUGUCGUGAGAUGUUGGGUUAAGUCCCGCAACGAGCGCAACCCUCGUUCCAUGUUGCCAGCACGUAGUGGUGGGGACUCAUGGGAGACUGCCGGGGUCAACUCGGAGGAAGGUGGGGAUGACGUCAAAUCAUCAUGCCCCUUAUGUCUUGGGCUUCACGCAUGCUACAAUGGCCGGUACAAUGGGUUGCGAUACUGUGAGGUGGAGCUAAUCCCUAAAAGCCGGUCUCAGUUCGGAUUGGGGUCUGCAACUCGACCCCAUGAAGUCGGAGUCGCUAGUAAUCGCAGAUCAGCAACGCUGCGGUGAAUACGUUCCCGGGCCUUGUACACACCGCCC
rnacentral:rRNA from 1 species